UAUAGAAUUUUAUAUUAACUUUACCUAGCGGUUAAUGCUGGUUUUUUGUUAAUAUUUGGUUGGGAGGAUUAUUAAAUUUAACAAACUUUAUAUCAUUAUAAACUUUGAUUUAAGAAAAUAUAAUGAUCUUCAAUUUGAAAUAGUUAGAGUAAAUUACCUUAGGGAUAACAGCGUAAUAUUUUUUUAUAGACCUUAUAGAAAAAAAUGGUUGCGACCUCGAUGUUGAAUUAAGAUAAAUUUUAAAUGCAGGAGUUUAAUAAUUAAGUCUG
rnacentral:rRNA from 1 species